GAGAAAAAUCCCUGAUCUAAUUCACUCAACACUCCUACGGCGCCUUCGCUUCUUACACAACAGCCGCCCCCUCUUGGAGUGCGAGUGCGUCUGUGUGAGCGUGUGUGACGCAUAGUAGGGAGACGACACGGCGUCCUACACAUUUGAACCGACAGACACACACACACACACACACACAUGCUGUCACCAAAGGCAAGUCAAUGUAUAAACCCCACACAGGCGCUCGGAGAAGAGGAGAGCAGGCGGGACGUCAAGAAGUAAAGACGGAGUCAGACGGAGAAGGCAAAAAAAGCAAGCGACGGAGUAAUAAGUGGAGAAAUGUGACCGUUAUCACCAUUAAUUGACUCUGACUGGAGGCUGAAUUUGGGCUCUGAAUAAUGUGGGAAGCGUGAGGGUCAAAUGGACGAAAUGCCCUCAAAGGAUCAACUAAGCGCGUGUGAUUCCGGAGUUCUUUUCUGCGUCACACGUGCCCUGACGUCGCGGCAUCGUCAGGUUACUUCUUCCCCCUCACUGAGCACCUUUCAAGAAGCAGUUGCCAUGGCAGCAGCGGAGGAAGGCGCUCACGGCGCCGUGACGUUUGGCAUACGCAACGCCCCCGUUCACUCAAGACCAUGGCAGGGAAAAAAAAAAAAAAAAAAAAGAAAUAAAACUCCUCGCAGCCCUCCAACACAUCAAGCGGUAUAAAAGCUGUCUGUCAUGCUCCACUUGCUGCUUCUGCCCCAAGCACCCACACACAAGGGCCUACGCUGGCAAAAAAAAAAAAUCCUCUGAUUACACAUACAAGCACAAAACGAGUGCCGUUUUUAGAUGAAAGUUG